AUUGAGCGCUGGCGGCAUGCCUUACACAUGCAAGUCGAACGGCAGCACGGGAGCAAUCCUGGUGGCGAGUGGCGAACGGGUGAGUAAUAUAUCGGAACGUGCCCAGUCGUGGGGGAUAACGUAGCGAAAGCUACGCUAAUACCGCAUACGAUCUAUGGAUGAAAGCGGGGGAUCGCAAGACCUCGCGCGAUUGGAGCGGCCGAUAUCAGAUUAGGUAGUUGGUGAGGUAAAGGCUCACCAAGCCGACGAUCUGUAGCUGGUCUGAGAGGACGAACCAGCCACACUGGGACUGAGACACGGCCCAGACUCCUACGGGAGGCAGCAGUGGGGAAUUUUUGGACAAAUGGGCGCAAGCCUGAUCCAGCAAAUGCCGCGUGCAGGAUGAAGGCCUCGG
rnacentral:rRNA from 1 species